UACGAAGGGGGCUAGCGUUGUUCGGAAUUACUGGGCGUAAAGCGCACGUAGGCGGGCGAUUAAGUCAGGGGUGAAAUCCCGGAGCUCAACUCCGGAACUGCCUUUGAUACUGGUCGUCUAGAGAUCGGAAGAGGUGAGUGGAAUUCCCAGUGUAGAGGUGAAAUUCGUAGAUAUUGGGAAGAACACCAGUGGCGAAGGCGGCUCACUGGUCCGAUACUGACGCUGAGGAGCGAAAGCGUGGGGAGCGAACAGG
rnacentral:rRNA from 1 species